rnacentral:rRNA from 1 species
GACGAACGCUGGCGGCGUGCCUAAUACAUGCAAGUCGACCUUAGUGGCGAACGGGUGAGUAACACGUCGGUAACCUUCCCAACAGAAGGGGAAAACACUUGCAAACAGGUGCUAAUCCCGUAUAGUGGUGGAUGGACUUGCGGUGCAUUAGCUAGUUGGUGAGGUAACGGCCCACCAGGGCCCCUAGGCAUCGCCGACCUGAGAGGGUGAUCGGCCACAUUGGGACUGAGACACGGCCCAAACUCCUACGGGAGGCAGCAGUAGGGAAUCUUCGGCAAUGGACGAAAGUCUGACCGAGCAACGCCGCGUGAGUGAAGAAGGUUUUCGGAUCGUAAAACUCUGUUGUUAGAGAAGCGGUAUCUAACCAGAAAGCCACGGCUAACUACGUGCCAGCAGCCGCGGUAAUAC